rnacentral:rRNA from 1 species
GACGAACGCUGGCGGCGUGCUUAACACAUGCAAGUCGAACGGAAAGGCCCUGCUUUUGUGGGGUGCUCGAGUGGCGAACGGGUGAGUAACACGUGAGUAACCUGCCCUUGACUUUGGGAUAACUUCAGGAAACUGGGGCUAAUACCGGAUAGGAGCUCCUGCUGCAUGGUGGGGGUUGGAAAGUUUCGGCGGUUGGGUAUGGACUCGCGGCUUAUCAGCUUGUUGGUGGGGUAGUGGCUUACCAAGGCUUUGACGGGUAGCCGGCCUGAGAGGGUGACCGGCCACAUUGGGACUGAGAUACGGCCCAGACUCCUACGGGAGGCAGCAGUGGGGAAUAUUGCACAAUGGGCGGAAGCCUGAUGCAGCAACGCCGCGUGCGGGAUGACGGCCUUCGGGUUGUAAACCGCUUUCGCCUGUGACGAAGCGUGAGUGACGGUAAUGGAUAAAGAAGCACCGGCUAACUACGUG